AUAAGGAAGAGCUGCCCUCAGCGUGGCCGGGCAACAUCUAAUCGGCUGAAAGCUUGGAUCGAAUGAAAAGGCAGAGGAAAGGUUCUGAAGACCUCAAAUGGACUGAGCCACACUACCAGCAUCCAGCAUCCAUGGUUCUCCAGUCUGCAGAUGGCCUAUUAUGGGACUUUUCAGUCUUCAUAAUUAUAUGAGAGAAAGAAAAUGAAAAGGAUUUGUAAACUAUAAAUCUCUAAACAGAUGGGAGGAAAGGAAUUGAUGAAACAAUAAAUUUAUUGAUGAAACAAUAAAAAUAAACAUAAAGAACCAAAGGUUUUCAAAGGCCUGUGAAG
rnacentral:lncRNA from 1 species